GAUGAACGCUGGCGGCGUGCCUAAUACAUGCCAGUCGAGCGAACGGACGAGAAGCUUGCUUCUCUGAUGUUAGCGGCGGACGGGUGAGUAACACGUGGAUAACCUACCUAUAAGACUGGGAUAACUUCGGGAAACCGGAGCUAAUACCGGAUAAUAUUUUGAACCGCAUGGUUCAAAAGUGAAAGACGGUCUUGCUGUCACUUAUAGAUGGAUCUGCGCUGCAUUAGCUAGUUGGUAAGUUAACGGGUUACCAAGGCAACGAGGCAUAGCCGAACUGAGAGGGUGAUCGCCGACACUGGAACGGGACCACGCUCCAUGCUCCUACGGGAGGCACCAGUAGGCAAUCUUCCGCAAUGGGCGAAAGCCUGACGGAGCAACGCCACGUGAGAGGUGGAGGUCUUCGGAUCGUAAAGCUCUGUUAUUAGGGAAGAACAUAUGUGUACGGAAAUGUGCACAUCUUGACGGUACCUAAUCAGAAAGCCACGGCUAACUACGUG
rnacentral:rRNA from 1 species